rnacentral:rRNA from 1 species
AUUGAACGCUGGCGGCAGGCCUAACACAUGCAAGUCGGACGGUAGCACAGAGAGCUUGCUCUUGGGUGACGAGUGGCGGACGGGUGAGUAAUGUCUGGGGAUCUGCCCGAUAGAGGGGGAUAACUACUGGAAACGGUGGCUAAUACCGCAUAACGUCGCAAGACCAAAGAGGGGGACCUUCGGGCCUCUCACUAUCGGAUGAACCCAGAUGGGAUUAGCUAGUAGGCGGGGUAAUGGCCCACCUAGGCGACGAUCCCUAGCUGGUCUGAGAGGAUGACCAGCCACACUGGAACUGAGACACGGUCCAGACUCCUACGGGAGGCAGCAGUGGGGAAUAUUGCACAAUGGGCGCAAGCCUGAUGCAGCCAUGCCGCGUGUAUGAAGAAGGCCUUCGGGUUGUAAAGUACUUUCAGCGGGGAGGAAGGCGAUGCGGUUAAUAACCGCGUCGAUUGACGUUACCCGCAGAAGAAGCACCGGCUAACUCCGUGCCAGCCGCCGCUGUAA